UGAAACUUGAUAUAUAUAUAAUGAAAAUUGAUAUAUAUAUAAUGAAAGUUGAUAUAUAUAUAUAUAAUGAAAAUUGAUAUAUAUAUAAUGAAAGUUGAUAUAUAUAUAUAAUGAAAGUUGAUAUAUAUAUAAUGAAACUUGAUAUAUAUAUAAUGAAAGUCGGAAUAUAGAAUGUUCAGAUUUUCAUUCCAUCUAUUCAAAGUUUCAUUCCAUAUAUUCAGACUUUUUCCUACUGAGCCCUGGAAGGACAUGGCAAACAAAAACAGGAACCUUAUUGGACAUUUGCUCUUCAGAUGAGCUCUUCUGUGAUUAUCUAUCUGUCUUCAUGGUUGUCACAGGGAACGGCGACUACGUUUGAGAAAACAGCUGGUCUUAAGGCUAAUUACGAGGCAGAGGUCAGCUGCUGCCUGGACACAUCCAUGAUCACGCCACUGGUGGGACACAAUUGUACUGGAUUUCAGCUGAAGGCUGCUGUUCUGUCCAAACUGAGACAUUUUUAUUGUGACAUACCCUCCACUGUUGUUAGCUUUUGAUUCAAUAAUUUUUUUUGAGAUGAGGAAAUCACUAUUGCAUGUUUCUAGUUAAAUACCCUACUUUUAUGAUAUAUCACUACAGCGUGCACUUUUUAUAUUUUCCAUCAAUUUCACCCAAAAGUUGAAUAACUACUUGUGAGCAGUGUAUGUAGACACAUAAUAGAAGCACAUUUCAAUAAUAUGUCUGCUGCAGUAGUGCAGUUUAUCUACCUAGAUUGGUGUAACAGUAAAAAAAACAACAAUAUAUGCUACUGAUGUUUCUGACUAAAAUCUGCUUGAAAAGCACAACUGCUUAUCUGUCAAAAUGUGUGUAACAAAAGUGUGCACUGAACACUGAAUAAAGUCUCUGUAGAUUAUAGACAAAAUUUGCAUCUCUCAUCACAAAUUUCUGUUCAUUCAUCCAAAGUGCAUGAGUAAAAUACAAAACAGGUGAAGUACUAAAAAAGAUUUAUUUUCUAGAAAAGCCAAUAGUCAACAAUGCAGUUUAAUUCUGGGACAGUUGCUCCAGCACCGACACCAUGCGUCCCAUCAGUGCAACCAAGGUUUUCAUUCAUCUUCUGGAUGUUCUGGAGCAUGGCAGAGGUCACGUCUUGGUGUCUUCCGAUCUGUUCCAAGAACCAUUCCUCUGACCUCUCCAGAUACUGCAGAGGAUCCAAAGCAGCUUCCUGGUUC